rnacentral:rRNA from 1 species
UCAACAAGCGGAGGAAAAGAAACUAACAAGGAUUCCCCUAGUAACGGCGAGUGAAGCGGGAAAAGCUCAAAUUUGUAAUCUGGCGCCCUGGGCGUCCGAGUUGUAAUCUCGAGAAGUAUUUUCCGCGCUGGACCGCACAUAAGUCUGUUGGAAUACAGCGUCAUAGUGGUGAGAACCCCGUAUAGGGUGCGGAUGCCCAGUGCUUUGUGAUAUACUUUCGAAGAGUCGAGUUGUUUGGGAAUGCAGCUCAAAUUGGGUGGUAAAUUCCAUCUAAAGCUAAAUAUUGGCGAGAGACCGAUAGCGAACAAGUACCGUGAGGGAAAGAUGAAAAGCACUUUGGAAAGAGAGUUAACAGUACGUGAAAUUGUUGGAAGGGAAACGCUUGAAGUCAGACUUGCAUUUUGGAGUUCAGCCGCAAGGUGUAUUCUUCAAUUCGCAGGCCAGCAUCAGUUUCUGGGGGUGGAAAAGCGCGGUUGGAAGGUAGCAGUCUCGGCUGUGUUAUAGCUUUCCGCUGGAUUCACUUUUGGGGACUGAGGAACGCAGUACGCUUUUUGCAAGAUUCUCGAGUCUUUCGUACUUAGGAUGCUGGUGGAAUGGCUUURGACGACCCGUCUUGAAAC